GAUUUUUCACGAAAAAAUCAAUGAAAAUGGGUAAAUUUCAAUAGAUUAUAGGACAGGAAACAUAGAGCGCAUACGUCGACAACAAAGUUCUUUUAAAAUAGUGUUUGUGAAGACAUUUCAUAUGUCUUAUUUGAACAUUAAGUUUGUCGACGCCUGCGCUCUAUGUUUCCUGGUCCUUAAUUUGGUUGAAAUCCCGCUCAUUUUGUCAAAUUUCACCAAAAUCCUUUAUCUUGACCUUUUUGGGAUGUAAAAAUCAACGUCUUAGACUUAAACUUUGACAAAAACAGUUCUGUUUAACUUUCUCACAUGUAUUUAAGGCAACUUAAAACAUUUAUUGGCUUGUAACUAUGACCUUUAUAAUUGGGGCCAAAUAUG
rnacentral:lncRNA from 1 species